GCAGAAUUCUCCCCCGUUUUCCGGAAAGGACAAUUAUAAUAGAGAUAGAGGAGCCAGGGAGGCUAAUCGCCGGAGCCUCAGAAUCGCAGCCAAACAACUAGCUGAUUAGGUCUGCUUCCCUUGGGAAAUUCUAAGGAGUCAUGCAUCUGGACAGAGUUGGGUUUCACUUCUCGUUCUCCAGGGAAAGUGUUCUUCUGGCGGGAAAACGAGACCCUAUUUAGCCUUGUUGUCAAGCUUCAAUGGACUAAAAGACCUUGUCAUCUCCCCACACUAUUGCUUGGCAAAGUGUGUGUUUCGGUUAAUGGAUUAUAACUUUGGACUCUAAUAUCACAUAUUGGACAUUAUUUUCCUGGACUAUAUUUGACCUUUCCUGAAAGGUCUACUUCUGAACUAUAUUCUUCACUUGUUUUUAUUGACUUUAUAUAUUUCUUUAAUAAAGAUAUUAGAUAGAA